AUUGAACGCUGGCGGCAGGCUUAACACAUGCAAGUCGAACGAGUGGCGGACGGGUGAGUAAUGCUUGGGAAUCUAGCUUAUGGAGGGGGAUACCUACGGGAAACUGUAGCUACUACCGCGUAACAUAGGAUGAGCCCCAGUGUGAUUAGGUAGUUGGUGCGGUAAAGGCUAACCAAGCCGACGAUCUCUAGCUGGUCUGAGAGGAUGAUCAGCCACACUGGGACUGAGACACGGCCCAGACGCCUACGGGAGGCAGCAGUGGGGAAUAUUGCGCAAUGGGGGCAACCUGACGCAGCCACGCCGCGUGAAGGAAGAAGGCCUGCGGGUUUUAAAGUUCUUUCGGGAGCGAGGCGUUAACUAAAGAAGAAGCACCGGCUAACUCCGUGCCAGCAGCCGCGGUAAUUC
rnacentral:rRNA from 1 species